UACGUAGGGUGCAAGCGUUGUCCGGAAUUAUUGGGCGUAAAGAGCUCGUAGGCGGUCUGUCGCGUCGGCUGUGAAAACCCGGGGCUCAACCCCGGGCCUGCAGUCGAUACGGGCAGACUAGAGUGCGGUAGGGGAGACUGGAAUUCCUGGUGUAGCGGUGAAAUGCGCAGAUAUCAGGAGGAACACCGGUGGCGAAGGCGGAUCUCUGGGCCGUAACUGACGCUGAGGAGCGAAAGCAUGGGGAGCGAACAGG
rnacentral:rRNA from 1 species